rnacentral:lncRNA from 1 species
CUGUCAAUAAUAUGUCUAAUAAAAAACAUAAUACAUUUCCAUAUCAAGAGAAGAGACCACAUUCAGUGGCGAAAAUAUAAAAUAAAUCAGUGGCACAUACAACUCAAUUAAUGAGUCCCUGCUUGAACACAAAGUCUCCAACAACAAACACAUUCAUGCAAAAAAAAUAAGAUCUUCUUAUCUCGGUACCAGGGAAGACAAAUUUUUAUACCAUGCAUAGAUACUGCCAGAGGGAGUUUCAAUAAUUUUUAGAAAUAAUUAUCUAGUUCAGACAAAAUUUAGAAAAUGUCAACCAUAUGAAUUAUUUAAAAAUAAUUACCAAGUGACUGCUACAUGUGAAAUAAGAAUAAUCUUCAAAAAUAAUCUAUAUUAACUGCAGAGGCAUUACUAUUGGUUUUAAGUAUAGAAUGUUCGAAAUUAUCAAAAAAAAAAAAGUAUAGAAUGUUCGAAGAAACCACCUAGUUAUGGUACAAAAAACAGCCAACGCUCGACCUUUAAUGUAAUUAUCAGACGAUGGCAUGGUUCCAAAAUAACAUGCAUUGCAACAGAAUUUAAAAUGUGGGGAAAUCACAAGAUCAAUAACUGCACAUAAUGAUGAUUUACUUUUUCCUUAUAGGAUGCUGACUAUACAUAUGUAUGCAAUAUAGGAUU